GGAGGGGGCAGGAAGAAGAAUGGAGCUUCCUCAGAGCCGGCGUGAGAGGGGCUGUUGUCCUGAGAGGGAGCGGGUGGGGCGGCCCGGUCCUGGCUCCCCUGGGGGUCCACCAGGCAUGCAAAGGGGUGGCCAAGGCUAUGAUCCCCAUUUCCCUGAUGAAGAAACUGAGGCUCAUGGCAGUUCCAGGCACCAAAAUCGAGGGCAGGUCAUGUGGAAAGCACAGCCGCGACCCCUGUCACAUCUCCUUUUUUAUUUUUUUGUAAGAAGAGAUGUUUGUUCCUGAGCCGCGUGGAGGAGGGGCCCCCGCCUCUUCACCAGCUGUAACCACGUCAGCUGCCGUGGGCACAAAGGCCGCUUUUCCCGUGUCCCCCCCUCACCCCGGAGCCCCAGCCCGAGGCUGCCAGCCGGCCCGGCACACAGGACUCAGCCCGCUGCCCAGCUUUGCAGCAAGGGACCCUCCUGAGUGCCAACUCGCAGAGCAGCAGCUGAAAACGGCUCAUUAGCCCUGAAUGGAGCCUGCAGAGCAGGGGCAGCGGGCAGGCAGGCCCUAGCAGCCGAGGACAUUGUUCCCGCCCAAUCCCUGGAGGGCCACAGAUGGGUGUAGUGCCUCCUGCCCAGCCCGGCUGGUCAGGCGCUGCCGAGAUGCUAUUUCAGAUACAUCCAGUUAAAGAAAAUAUAUUCUUAAGACUAAUCUCUCCCGUUUCUUUGUAUGUUUAAAAUGUGGCCACUCGGCAAAUUGACAUUACAUCUGUGGCUAUUCACCUUCUGUUUCAUGUUGUGCCG